rnacentral:lncRNA from 1 species
UUUUUUUUAGUGAAAUUUGAGGAGAGGAAAGUCAAAACUUCUACGUGAGGGGGCCUCACCAGAGCGACAAAGGGACUGAGGAGUAAAAAGAAUCCUACUCUCCGAUAUAUAUAAUCCUAAGACUCAAAACGUUUUUGUUCUAGACUCAACAACGCCAGCGAUUCGAUCAAGCAGGGGGCUCCUAAGUCGGGGAUGGUUCUGAUUACCAACUUGUAACGCCCACGAUACAGCUAUAUCUCUCACGUGCCGAGGCACGACUUAGAGGCAUAACCGCAUUGUAGGUUUUGUCGCAAGAAGGGUCAUCUUCACACAAUCCCAUGUAAUGAACAAGAAUGGGAUAAAGAGAGUUGGCUUACAAUCGCCACUUCACACAAUACAUAAAUAAAUUCAUACAUCAUUCAACAUACACACAUAGACCGACUACGGUCAAAUCCAAAUGAAAAGAAGAUAACCCCAAAUGCUAGAUCCCCGAUCGUCCCAACUGGGCUCCACUAUUGAUCAUCCGGAAACGAAACAUAGUAACGAACAAGGUCCUCGUCGAAGCAUCACCUGCACUGGCAUCAUCGACACCUGCAACUGUUCUGGUAGAAUCUGUGAGUCACGAGGACUCAGCAAUCUCACACCCGCGAGAUCAAGACUAUUUAAGCUUAUGGGUAGGAAAGGGGUAAUGUGGUGGAGCUGCAGCAAGCACUAAGCAUAUAUGGUGGCUAACAUACGCAAAUGAGAGCAAGAAGAUAAGCAAUGCACGGUCGAGAAGCUAGAAAUGAUCAAGAAGUGAUCCUGAAGCUACUUACGUUCAAGCAUAACACAAGACUGUGUUCUCUUCCCGGACUUCGCUGAAAAGAGACCAUCAUGGCUACACACACGGCUGGUGCAUUUUAAUUAAGUCAAGUGUCAAGUUCUCUACAACCGGGCAUUAACAAAUUCCCAUCUACCACAUAACCACGGGCACGGCUCUUGAAAGUUUAUACCCUGCAGGGGUGUCCCAACUUAGCCCAUCACAAGCUCUCACGGUCAACGAAGGAUAUUCCUUCUCCCGGGAAGACCCGAUCAGUCUCGGAAUCCCGGUUACAAGAUAUUUCGGCAAUGGUAAAACAAGACCAGCAAAGCCGCCCGAAUGUGCUGACAAAUCCCGAUAAGAGCUGCACAUAUCUCGUUCUCAGAGCACACCGGAUGAGACAUCCUACGAGUAAAAACCAAGCCUCAAGUUUCCCCGAGGUGGCCCCGCAGUCUACUCGGUUCGGACCAGCACUCAGAGGAGCACUGGCCCGGGGGGGUUAAAUAAAGAUGACCCUCGGGCUCGCGAAAACCCAAGGGAAAAGGCUUAGGUAGGCAAAUGUAAAACCAAGGUUGGGCCUUGCUGGAGGAGUUUUAUUCACAGCGAACUAUCAAGGGGGUCCCAUAAAUCCCCAACCGCGUAAGGAACGCAAAAUCAAGGAACAUAACACUGGUAUGACGGAAACUAGGGCGGCAAGAGUGGAACAAAACACCAGGCAUAAGGCCAAGCCUUCCACCCUUUACCAAGUAUAUAGAUGCAUUAAUUAAAUAAGAGAUAUUGUGAUAUCCCAAAAAUAUCCAUGUUCCAACAUGGAACCAACUUCAACUUCACCUACAACUAGCAAUGCUAUAAGAAGGGCUGAGCAAAAGCGGUAACUUAGCCAAACAAUGGUUUGCUAGGAAAGGAUGGUUAGAGGCUUGACAUGGCAAUACGGGAGGCAAGAUGUAGCAAGUGGUAGGUAGAGCGACAAAGCAAUAGAGCGAACAACUAGCAAGCAAAGAUAGAAGUGAUUUCGAGGGUAUGGUCGUCUUGCCUGAAAUCCCGCAAGGAAGAAGAACGAGUCCAUGAAGAAGACAAACGGACGUAACCGAACGAAUCCUCACAACUCCGGAACGAAACCGAAGCUAACGAGAGAAGCAAACCGGAAAGAAGCAAACAACAUGGUAAACAACCAGCACAUAAGCAUGGCAUGAUGCGCAAUCAAGUAUGAUGCAUGUCCGGUUUAAUGAGUCAUGACAUGGCAAAGUGCAACAAACAAUACAACAAAUUAAGUGGAGUUCAAUAUGCAAUGAGUUGCAUAUUGAAGAAACACCACAUUCGAGUUAUUUAGUUCGCUCUCGUUAAGGUACACAACAAUAUUAAAUGUUGUCAAACAUGGCAAGGGGUGAAGCAUAAGUACACUAACUAUUUAAGCAAGUUUAAAUGAGGCCGGAACAACAAACAACAAUUCCGGAAAAUCCUCAUGUCCAUAUUUUAGAUAUGGUACUGUUCCGCCCUAAACCAUAUUUUAGAGUUGUUAAACAUGCAAAGUAAUAUCACCAAGUUAAACUAUGCAUUUUUUCACCCCAUUUACAUAUAAAGUUCAUUAAAUUCCGAGCUACGGUUAUUUAGUUAUGAAAUAAAUCAUUUUAACAUGGCAUUUAAGCAAAUUUAAACAAGCAGCAUUUUAAACAUUUUAAACAUGGAUGAAAGUAGCAUAUUAUGAAACUAGAUGAACUUCUAAGCACUUUUCAUAUUUGAAGUUUUAACAUAUGGUGCAUGAUUAUUUAGUUAUUGAAUGCAUGAACAGCAAGGGGUUGUCUGCAAAUCUGUAAUACUCUGGAUAAUUGGACAAAUUCGCAGAACGAGAAAAAAAACAUGAUUCAGGCCGCAUCUGCUGGGCCAACAGCAUACAGGAGAGGGGCUGCAGGGGCUGCUCACCAUGGGCCAUGACCCAGAUCGGAGGUGAGGUGAGGCCGGAAGGGGGGCGCUGGGCCGAAGCCAGGCUAGCUGGGCCAGAUCUGGAGACGCGCUGCAAGGGCACGCCUUGCGGUCCACGAGAUGGAGCGGGGGAAGUCGAUGCGGUCAACGAGCGGGCGAGCGGGAAGCAGAGGAGACCGAGGCGCCAUGGCAGGGGAACGGCAGCGACGGCGGGACUUGGGGGUGCCGGCGGCAGGGAUGGGGCCCUGGCGGCGGGAUCGGCCGAGAACAGGCAAGGGCGGCGGAGGAAGGCGACGGCUUGGCGGUUGGUGUCCACGACGUUCGCUGUUGCCUGCAGAACGAUGACAGGGGAAUUCAGAGAAGAAACGGGGAAGUGAAGAAGAAGGAGACGGCGAGGGAGAUGGCAUGGGCGCGACGGGGCCUGCCUGGGGUUGCCGGCAACAACGAGGACGGUCGUCAGAGGCAUGAAGGAGUGGCCAUGGUUGCCAGGGCGGCGAGGACGGCGACGCGAGGUGGAGGAGCGUUCGGGCGCUGCUGCUGCUCCAGGCGGCAGCCAUGGUUCCCUGCGAGGAACAACGGACGGGGAAGGCACAGUCAGGGAGGAGCAGCGUGAGGAGGGAAGGAAGAGCAGGGAGGAAGGGCACGCUCCUGUGUGCUCGGGGCGAGACCGCCAUGGACAGAGUGGAGGGGGCUUGAGCUCUUGGUUGCUGCUGGAGGACGAAGGGGUCCUGGUCGGUGGCUUCGAUUUCCGGCAGGAGAAGUGGCUCGGGGUCGAGGACGAGCUCAUGGCUCGAGGGAUGGGGUGGAUCGAGCAGAGGCCGGGUGAUGGUUGGACGGGGAUGGAUCCCAAGGAAGAGGAUCGGGGUGGCGGCGGCGCCGAGGAAAACGAGGGAGGCACGGGAGGAUGGUGGUUGGCUGUGGGUGAUCCCGAUGGGGAUUGAGCGGGUGGCGGCGCGAUGGGACAAGAAGCCUAGGUUUUAGGGUUAGGCCAAUAGGACUAUAUAUAUAGAAAAGGAGGGCUAAGUUUGGACCCUCCGAUUAAAUCUGAUGGUCGAGAAAAAAUAGGCUAGGGAGUCCAAUUAAGAAAACGAAGAUGUUUAGGGAUGAUCUGACUCCAACGGUCACGACCGCCCGGAUCGAGUUCGGGGAAGUUUUUGGACGCGCACGAGAGGGGGUUCUAAGAGAGGUGAUGAAGGCAAAGGGAGAAACGGCAACGACGAGCGAAUGCAAGUUUUAAAACAUUACUGCAACGGAGUGCCGAUGCAAUGCAAAUGAUGACAUGACGAAAUGCAACAAACAAAUAAAUAACAUAGCUGACUCGCAAAACAAGGAAGGCAUCUGGAGCAUCGGUCUUGGGGCGUUACAACACUCCACCACUACAAGAGCAUCUCGUCCCGAGAUCUAGGAUGGCACCGGAGAAAAGCGGAAGAGAAGAGGUAAAACAAAGUUGCUUCUUUAACAAACAAGUGAAACCAACAAACCUUGAUAGGUUGAACAAGUUGAAGAAGAAUACAAUGGAGAUGAACACAAUUGAGAGCACUGCGGUAGUAAAAAGAAACAAGGAACACCAUGUGAACCUUGGAGGUUGCAAAGCUAUGAAUGACGAGUACAAUGGACAAGAAGGAAUUGAAACCACUCUGGCUAAAACGAGAUAAACAAGGACCAAUGAAGAACAAAUUCGGACAUCACUCCGGUUGAAGAGAUGCAAGACUUGAUAAGAUGAAAGAACUUGAAUGAGAGCACAACACUCUGGUUAAAUGGGUAAGCAUGAAAAGAAUAUGAUCUUGGCAAAACGAGAUGAUGGGUGAAGAGAGCAACAUCACAAUGCCUCCGGAACGAAAGAAUAGUAGCUAGUUUGUUGGGAUAAAGGGACAGAGAAGAAAAUGACAACUUCCACCACAAUUGAAUUUCAAGAGCAUCCUUGCAAGGAAGGAUUGAACGGAGUUCUUGGGAAACUAGCCACGAGAAGAAUAAGCUUGUAGUGGGCUUAUGGAAACAUCUCAAAAUUAUGAGGUGACAAACGGCCACUAACGAAUACCAUUGAUUUGAUUGAGAGUACCAAAGAGACGAAAAACUUCUUCCACCAAGAUGAUAAAGAGAUAACUUGGAUCAUUGUUAAGCACCACAGUAGCAACAUUCCUUAGGAAAGGCUUUAGAUGAAAUCUCUACCAAGAUAACUCCAAAGAAGAGAUUGAUGGAUUUAAAAUACCUCAUUCUUAACAACAUGUGAAUCAUGGAACAUGAAUGGAAAUUAUCAAGAAGGACAUAACACCACCUCAAAAGAUAUUGUAGAAAGAAUUGCACUUCCGAAUGCAAGAUAAAGAAUACUUGAGCUCCUCCAACAAGAAUCUUGAAGAACACUUCGAGAAUGAAUUAAAUCCUUGAUGAACCAUCAUGUAGAGCCUCCAUGAAGAACUCCGAUAAAAAAAGGAUGAUAAAAAAAGAGAAGUUGAGAACACAAGUCAAGCCUUGCGAUAAUUUAGAUGGAGCUUCGCGACGAGAUAAUGCAGAAAAAGCUUGGAACUCCGGAAGAAGCUGAACACAUAUAAUUGAGAAAUUGAUGCCAUUACGAACUCCGGAAGAAGGAAUUAAUCACUUGGAUGAAAAAAGAACAAGAAUUAUGUUAUGCGUAUCCUUCACCAAUUUAGAUUGAUGACAAGCAAUGGAUUUGGCAUACUACUUAUUCUUGUAGAAAGGAUUAAGAGAGAUAUGGCGUAGACUUGAGAAAGUUCUUCAACGAUCCGCCGGUAGGAUUGGAAAGAACGAAUGAAUUGAUAUGAUAACCAAGGAAGAGAACUCUUGAACGAACCACCGUAAGAAUUGGAAAUGAAAGUAGCAAAGGCGCAAUUCACCGGGAAGAAUUAGAAAACGAAUAAAGAUACUUGACAGAAUUUAGACACAUGAGAACGAAAAUCAUGAACUGAUUAGAGGAUAUUUGAAUGAUGCACCGGUAAGAUUUGGAGAAUGAGAUCUAAAGCUGAGAAUGAAUAAUACUGAGAUGAUGGGCUCUGGAGAAUCAAAAUGAAAAGACUCCUGAAUUGCUCCGGAUGGGUGAAAAGAAUUCUCGCAAUCGAAAACAAUUAUGAGAGGAUGGCAUCAAGCUAGGACCAUGAAUCUUCAAGAGAAUGGACAAGAUAUAAGGGAAACUCUUCUUCGGUCUUCAAAAUCCGAGAAUGACGACGAGAAACCACCAUGAAUUGUUGAGAUACUCCGGGAUGAAAAUUAGAAAUGUUGAACCAACGAUGAAAAGAAUUUGAAAGCGAUCUUGGAGAAGGAAUAUGACUGAUGGUACUUCAUUCUUACGUCAAACUUCAAAAAGAAUUUGGGAAUAGCUCCGGGAAAAUUAGAAGAGUCAGGUAAGAUCCUGGGAAAAGACAUGUGGGUUAGGGCCCACUCAAAAGAACCACCGUUGAACGAUUGCUUGAAAAGAGAGAUUGCACCGGUUGAAUUAAAUGGCUUGAAUGAGAUAACAACCUCGAAAUAGCUUGAAAGGAUUAAGAAUACAAAUGCGAAUCUUCUAAGCUAUCUUCAACACUCCGGAACAAAUGAAUAGCGAGAGGUGAAUGAUUAAUUGGUGCACCGGAAUGGGAAAGCAUUGUGAAAAGAGGAAAAGGAUAUGAUCAACACCGAAAGCUUGCCUUGAAACCACCGGGGAAGAUAAGAGAACAAAGAAUGAUAAACUUGAAGCUUCCUUAGCAUAUUCAUGAGAAUCACCAGGUAAGGACAUGGAGGAAAAGAAUGAAGAGACUUCACAUCAAUAAAAAGGAUACUUGAUUAAGAAAUCUGAGUCCUUGAAGAAAAGGGUGGGAGGGUGGGAAAACAAAGGCAACUUGAGUCGGAUGAAACGAACACCGUUGAGAAAAAGCUUAGAAUUGAUCUAGCGAAUGUUGGAAUGAUCGGAUUUACUUGGAGAGAAGCACGCCGGUUGGAAAUAGAAUUAAGAUGGCAAUCUCGAUGAUUAAGAAGGAUUAGCAUCCAUAUAGAAAUAUGAGAACACCGCUUAGAAUAAGGUAUGGAAUCAACACUUGGCAUUGAAGCAACUCGAAUACCACAAAACAAAACAAAAACAAAGGAUUUGGCUUGCAGAAUAAGCCGGAAACAAACAUAUGAUAGAUCCCAUAUCGUAUCAUGUGUGUGUUGGAAAGAUAUCCUACGAGAUACUUGAAUUCCCACUUAUAAACUCCUGAAACUUUCUAGUUAUGCAAUCUGGUGUUGGGGAUACAGGGGACUGUAGCGACCAGACCUCAAAUGGUCUGUGCUGCUGUGCACCAGUGUCAUCCCUGGAUCAGUAAUGCUGACACGCACAGUACAAAUGGAGGAUUUAUAACAGAGUAGCAAUCACACACUUAUUACAUAGAAUAUCUCCAAAGAGAUUAAGUAUGAUAAACAUGGCUUAAGGCCAUCUAAUAACGAUAACAGCGGAAGACUUGGAAGAUAAGUGAGUCCAUCAACUCCAGCGGCAUCACUGAGUAUAAGACCACGACCUAAGGCACUUUACUCGUCGUCUGAAAAGUCUGCAACAUGAAACGUUGCAGCCCGGAAACGGGUCAGCACAUAGAAUAUGCUGGCAAUGUAACACAUAGAGAAUAAUGAACAGUAAUAAGGCUAUACUACAUGCAUAUGUGGCUGGUGGAAAGCUCUAUGGUUACAGUUUUUGCGAAAAGCCAAUUUUAUCCUACUUCAAAAGAAUAUAUUUUAUUUAACUAUCAUGGUGGUUGUGAAACAUUGAGAUGGUUGACAGCAUCUCAAUCCCAAUUAAAUGUCAUCAAUAACCCAACAAAAUUAAUUAGAAGUAACAUAGUGUUGAGCUUCACAUGAUAAUCCAGGUACUAGAUACUCAAGUUGUCCAUAACCGGGGACACGGCUAACCAUGAUUAGUUUGUACACUCUGCAGAGGUUUGUGCACUUUUCACACAAGACUUGAUCUCCUCCGUUGGAUUACUCGCACUACAUGGUGUUUGAGUAACGGAUGACCAAGACACAGUCUUUCAGAAGUGUUUGCACCUUACGUAUGGGUAGACAGUUACACCUACUUUCCCCUACAUCUGCUAGUCUACCACUGUAAGAGUUCACACAACUUCAUCAACUAUGCUAGAGCCCAUAAUAGCUUGCGGCUGCACACGGAAGUUUCUAGCAUGAAUAAUCUUAUGAUCCCUUUGAACCUGGGUGGCGGUCCAAAAGAAAAACAGGCAAUCCUGGAAUACCCAGGUACCUCAAUCCACCCAGAUGUGAGUUUUAGUUGCCACCUUAAGUAAACCAUUAUUAACAAUCUCACAUCUGUCAUGAAUUUCACUCAAACCCAAACCACGUCUACGAGCAUAGCAUGGCAAUAAUAAUAGCAACGUAGAAGUAACUCCCAAGGGUUUGAUAAUAAAACAGGUAAUAGGUUCUACCUCAACUACUUCCCAAUACCCACAAUUUAAUUAGAUCCUAGUCAUGCAAUGGUUGAGGAAAUAGAUCUAAUGCAAUAAAACUGGGUGUGGAAGGGUAUGAUCAAAGUGUUACUUGCCUUGCUGAUGAUCCGCAAAACCUAGCGAUUCGAAGUAACAAGCGGCACACUCCGGGUACUCUAUCGCAAACAAACAAGCAUACAAUCAGUACUCAUCUAAUGCACAGGUAAAACUCGAAUGAAAUAUCCAACCAGAAAGUUCAACUUAAGAACUCCGGUUUACAAAAAAAAUCAACUCGAAAGAAACAACGAAAGUCAAACUGCGAAAGAAAGUAGCUUCGUUUACUAAUCUGGAUCUAGGUCAAAUUUUACUGUAGCAAAAACUUGUGUGAGUAGGUUAAACAGAAAGAGAAUUUCGAGACGAAACUCUAGGCGCUUGAAUCGCCUGAUUCCGAUAAACGAGCGAGAAGUUAAACAGAAACGAAGAUUCGAUCAGAAAUCGAAUCUGAGAAAAUAACGGAAAAAUCCGACGAAAAAGAAAAACGGACGAACGGUUAAAGAACGGACGUUCGUUAACAGAGAAAAACCGACGAACGCGUUCGUUGAAACAAACGGUUCGGUGAACGCUCGCAAAAUAACAAAACCGAAAAAAAAACGAUCUAGGUUUUUUUUAAACGAAGGGUUUUUUUUUACAAAAAUUGGCAACGACGAACGAGGCAACGAGGCAGUACCUCGUCGGGGCAGUGCUCCGGCGGGGCUCCGGGCGAGGGGCGGCGAGGGGCCCGGGGUGCGGGGCUNNNNNNNNNNNNNNNNNNNNNNNNNNNNNNNNNNNNNNNNNNNNNNNNNNNNNNNNNNNNNNNNNNNNNNNNNNNNNNNNNNNNNNNNNNNNNNNNNNNNNNNNNNNNNNNNNNNNNNNNNNNNNNNNNNNNNNNNNNNNNNNNNNNNNNNNNNNNNNNNNNNNNNNNNNNNNNNNNNNNNNNNNNNNNNNNNNNNNNNNNNNNNNNNNNNNNNNNNNNNNNNNNNNNNNNNNNNNNNNNNNNNNNNNNNNNNNNNNNNNNNNNNNNNNNNNNNNNNNNNNNNNNNNNNNNNNNNNNNNNNNNNNNNNNNNNNNNNNNNNNNNNNNNNNNNNNNNNNNNNNNNNNNNNNNNNNNNNNNNNNNNNNNNNNNNNNNNNNNNNNNNNNNNNNNNNNNNNNNNNNNNNNNNNNNNNNNNNNNNNNNNNNNNNNNNNNNNNNNNNNNNNNNNNNNNNNNNNNNNNNNNNNNNNNNNNNNNNNNNNNNNNNNNNNNNNNNNNNNNNNNNNNNNNNNNNNNNUUUUUUAAUAAGUUCCGCGGAAAAUAAUUCGUAGAAAAAUAAAUAAAAGUCAGAAAAAUAUAAAAUAAAUGUUCCCCGUCUAGUUAGAAAAUCUAGAAUAGGGUGAACAUUUUUUUAACACAAAAUAAAUAAUUUGAAAACAUGCAAUAUUUUUAAUGCAAUAAAAAUUGCAAAUAAAUUCCAAAUAAAUUCCAAUAAAUGAUUUUAACAUUUUUCCUGCAGUAUUUCAAUUGUUUUGGAGAAGUCAUAUUUUCUCCUCUCGUUUAUUUUAAACUGAAAUAUUUUUCUAGAGAGAAAAUAUUUAAAACCAAAAUCCUCAUCUUAUAUUUGAUGAAAAUCAAAUUUGAAAAUUCGAGAAAAUCCCCAACUCUCUCCGAGGGUCCUUGAGUUGCUUAGGAUUAUCGAGGAUUUGUCAAAAUGCAAUAAAACAUGAUAUGCAAGGAUGAUCUAUGUAUAACAUACCAAAUUGAAAAUUUGGGAUGUUACAGGGACGCAAUAUAUCUCACCCAAACUAACAAUACCUAGAUCCAGCUAUAUCCAUCCGUCAACACAUAACCAAGAAAACUCCUGAAAUCGUGUACCUCAACCUUCGAAAAGCAUCCGUUAUACGAGUUAUGGCAAUACUCCCGAACUCCCGCCCCAGUACUAGGUGGCGUCGAGGUGAUCUCACCAACAAACUACAUAAAAGAGAUUUUCAAUGUCGGCGAAACUCAGGUAUUCCAGAACUGCAACGAUAAAAUUGUGACGACAACACCUCGGAGCUCAACUCCCCGGGACACUGCUACAACCCCUAAAUGUCAGGAGGCACCAAGAACAAUGUUCUCGUCGCAAAAUGGUCAUUUUCAUAAUGUCAAAACAUGGUGAAAAUGAUUCCAUCAGAACAGACUCGACGAAACGAAGAAGUGGGCUUUGGAUUCACCUGAUUUGGAGCUAUGGGUAAAAAGAUAGGAUAGUUUUUCUACCAGGGACCCAUUUGUAAAUAAAAUCAUCACAAAUAGGCCCUUAGCCGGAAAAACAGAACGCGCACUCCAGAGAAUACGCCUUCUCCUCUGGAAAACGUAUUCCACGCUGUAACAGAGAGAAAAUAUGCUUUCAGUAAAGGAAAGCGUACUUUGGCUGAAGUAGAAGCAGAAUAUGCUUUUGGAAGAAGAAAACGGAAUCCUAGGGAGUUCGUCUCCACUUAUCUGACAUGGCGGGGCGGGGUCAACGGCUGAGCGGCUGAUGCGCGGGGCCCGCGGCCAGCUGGCAGGAGGAACUCGUCUCCUUCUCCUCCUCGCCCGCGCCCGCGCCUGGCCAAGGCAGAGCCGGCCCCGAUGGCACUCGCCGGCGGCACAUGCCACCGCAGGCGGCGCCCGACCUACCCACGGGCUCAGGAGAUGGAGCCGCAUCGCCUGGGGUAGGCCUCGUUCGCCGAAGGGCGCGGGGAAGGGCAUGGCGUUGGCUGCGGCGGAAGAAGGCUUCGGCCACCGGUGAACUCGGGGCAAACGACCACCGGAGGAGAAAGAGAUGUGUUGGGCGGCUCGGGGGUGGUGGUGGAAGAGAAGGAGGGGGACGGCGUUGAGCGAAUUUAGGCCGAGGCCGAGGCGGGCACGGCGGCCAUGGAGGAGGAAAGAGGGGCGCUCGAGCUCCGAGGAGCGGUCGGGGUGGCUGCUAGGAGUGAGUGAGGUCGAGUGGUGAGGUUGAGAGGCCUCAGGGUGGGCUUAUAUAGGCGGGGGAGGAGGGGGUCGAGCUGGCGUCGCCGCGGACGUGUGCCCACGCUCGCGAGCUCGUAGGUAGACGACGUAGGAGGAGCAGUGGAGGUUCUCACGGGGAGGAGAAGGCCAAAGGAGCGCAGGGAGGAAGAAGACGGCGAGCUCCGAGCCAAACCGCCACUGUUCGCCCGUGGGCGAGCGUCGGCGAGCGUCGGUGAGGAAGCUGCCGGAAGGGGAGAGGGGUCCAAGGGAACGGCGACGAUGAGGUGAAGCCAAGGGACAUGCUCACGCGUGCGAAGACGACGAGAGGAGGAGGUGCCGAAGCACAAACGACGCCUGGGCGCCGCCGCAGUGCACAGAGCGCGCGCACUGUUAUGCCAAUAACGUGGUCACCGUGUGCACUGGCAUGUAGCGGGGGCAAUGAGCUGGAACGUGUUGUCUAGUGGUAAGUUCUUCCAAGGGAGGUUUCAACUGCGGUGGUAGAUCUAUGAAAAACGCUUUGGUUAAAUGGUAAUCAUCGUCUGAAGUUUACUGCAGUAAACUUGGCCGAGCACUGCUGAUCAACAGAGAUUUGAUUGGGUCAAAUGGAGUUGUCUGCGAUGAUUAACUAAGGAAGGACUAAAAUCCUAGAGAGUUUGAGGGGAAAUGGACCAUUAAUUAAUAUGGUUGCUUUGUAACUACCAUUAUCGGUCUAGAAUUAAAAUCAUGAUGGUUCACUCACAUAGAGUAGCCACUUGAGCUGAAAUUUGGCAAGGCUUAGUGAUUUGGACAUAUAAAGGUGCUGUAAAAAUUUCAUACCAAUUGGAUUCACCAAAAUGGUACUUCAUUCAUAGCUAUUCUCUCUGUCCAGAAACUUGCAAAAAUUAUAGAUAAAUAAUGGCUAGAUGAAUUGGUCCCAAAUUUGGUGGAGAGAGGUUUUAUGGUCAUGAGAAUGCUCUGGUAAAUUUUCAAGCAAAAUGAAGCAAUAUAAAAUGUACUUGCUUCACAAUCUGAAAAUAUUGACAGAAGCAAAGAUUUGACCCUGUGCUCACAUAGAGGAUUGGAUAGGGCUGAAAUUUGGAGGAGGGUUAUUAUAUGAGCACAUUAAGGAGUGCAAAUUUUCAACUCAUUUGGAUAACCCUAGCUAGUACUUCCUUCACAAUGCCUUCUGUUUGACAAAAAGUUUGAAAAAUUGCUGAGGAAGAUUGGCUAGGCAAAUAAAGUUGAAUUUUGGCAUGAGGCAAUUAUUUGGACAUAAGAGAAUGCCCAAAAGUUUUGGGAGCAAUCAUGAAAGGAUAGGUGGCACUUCCUUCACAUAAAGCCACACUGGACAGAAAUGAAGAAUAAUCAUUGGGGAAUUAUUCUUGGGCUAGGGCAGGAAAGUUUGGGCAUCCAAAGAAAUUUUGAGAAUUAAUUGGGGUUUUUGGGAUGAACAGAAAUAUAGGUUGCUUCACAACCUAGGGCAGAUAGGGUUAUUCCUUUAAUAGAAAAAGGAAUAUUCCCGAGAAAAAGAUUUUAGGGUUUGGUCAAGGAGGGAAGUGACAUGAUCUUGGAAAGGUUUUGAGAAUGAUGAGCCACUUGGGAGGGGGAAUGAGGAUGAUUUCCCAGGUGGCAAGGCCACAGAACCACUCCAAAAAGAAAAACAGAGCAAAACCAAAUAAAUCAAAAGAAAAAGAAAAGGGCCAAAAACCAGGGUUGCUGGACGGUGAGGGGUUGGAUGAGAUUUACCAUGUAAUCGAGUUAGUUUUGUUAGGGUUUGAACCCUGGUAUCCAUUAUGCUCUAAGAUUGAUGUUGCUAUGACUUUGCUAUGCUUAAUGCUUGUCACUAGGGCCUGAGUGCCAUGAUUUCAGAUAUGAACCUAUUAUGUUUUCAUGAAUAUAUGUGAGUUCUUGAUCCUAUCUUGCAAGUCAAUAGUCACCUACUAUGUGUUAUGAUCCAGCAACCCCGAAGUGACAAUAAUCGGGACCACUCCCGGUGAUGACCGUAGUUUGAGGAGUUCAUGUGUUCACUAACUGUUAAUGCUUUGGUCCGGUACUCUAUUAAAAGGAGGCCUUAAUAUCCCUUAGUUUCCAAUAGGACCCCGCUGCCACGGGAGGGUAGGACAAAAUAUGUCAUGCAAGUUCUUUUCCAUAAGCACGUAUGACUAUAUUCAGAAUACAUGCCUACAUUACAUUCAUAAACUGGAGCUAGUUCUGUGUCACCCUAUGUUAUAACUGUUCAAUGAGGAAUCGCAUCCGACAUAAUUAUCCAUCAUCGAUCCAUUGCCUACGAGCUUUUCACAUAUUGAUCUUUGCUUAGUUACUUUUCCGUUGCCACUGUUACGAUUGCUAUAAAAACUGCUACUGUUACUUUUGCCACCGUUACCGUUACUUCCAUACUGCUUUGCUACUAAAUACUUUGUUGCAGAUAUUAAGUCUUUCAGGUGUGGUUGAAUUGACAACUCAACUGCUAAUACUUGAGAAUAUUCUUUGGCUCCCCUUGUGUCGAAUAAAUUUGGGUUGAAUACUCUACCCUCGAAAAUUGUUGCGAUCCCCUAUACUUGUGGGUUAUCAAGACUAUUUUCUGGCGCUGUUGCCAGGGAGCAUAGCUCUAUUCUUUGAGUCACUUGGGAUUUAUAUCUGUUGAUCACUAUGAGGAACUUGAAAGAUGAAAGAACCAAGAUUUUCCCCUCAAGUGCGAGGGGAGGUAAGGAAUUGUCAUCUAGCUCUGCACUUGAUUCACCUUCUGUUAUAGUACAUUUGCGACACCUACACCUGUUAUUGAUUCUGAUAUGUCGCAUGUUAUUGAUGAUGCCACUUCUUCUAUGCAUGAUGCUUAUGAUGAAACUACUUCUAUGAUUGAUAAUACUGUGCCAUUAGGUGAAUUUCUUGAUGAACAACUUGCUAGGGUUAGAGAGAAUGAAAUUAUUGAAACAGAUAAUAUUGAUGAAAGUGAUGAUGAAGAUUCUCCCCCUAGAUAUGAAUUGCCUGAUGUGCCCGAGGGUUAUGUUAUGGAUGAAGAAACAGAUAUAUAGGGGAAGGGAGGAGGGGGUGGCGCCCCUAGGGUUUCCCCUAGGGGGGCGGCGGCCAGGGUAGAUGGGAUCUCCCCCAGGGGGACUUGCCCCCAAGCCGGGAGGUGGGAAACCCUAGGGGGGCACCCCCAGCCCUCCUGGUUACGUGAGAUGGUGUGAGAGGGGUGCUCAGCCCUUGAGUGGGCUGGUUUGCCCCCUCCCCUUGGCCCAUGGGCCCCCCCAACACUUGUCGUGGCCCCCCGAAACCCCUUUCGGUGACGCUGGUCAUCACCUAGUACCCCUGGAACAAUUCCGGACUCCAAUACCCUUCGUCCAAUAUAUCAAUCUUCACCUCCGGACCAUUCCGGAGUUCCUCGUCAUGUCCGGGAUCUCAUUUCGGACUCCGAACAACCUUCGGUAACCACCAUAAUGACUCAACUAUACUUAUAUCGUCACCAAAAGUUUAGUGUGUAGACCCUCCGGGUUCGAUAACUAUGCAGACAUGACCGAGACACCUCUACGGUCAAUAACCAAUAGCGGGACCUGGAUGCCCAUAUUGGUUCCUACAUAUUCUACAAAGAUCUUAUCAGUCGAACCUCGAUGUCAAGGAUUCAGCUAAUCCCGUAUGAAGGUCCCUUUGUCUAUCGGUAUGUUACUUGCCGGAGAUUCAAUCGUCGGUAUCUCCAUACCUAAUUCAAUCUCGUUACUGGCAAGUCUCUUUACUCAUUCCGUAAUACAAGAUGCCGUGACUAACUCAUUGGUCACAUUGCUUGCAAGCUUAUUGUGAUGUUGUAUUGCCGAGUGGGCCCUAAGAUACCUCUCCGUCAUACGGAGUGACAAAUCCCAGUCUUGAUCCAUGCCAACUCAACAGACACCCUCGGAGAUACCUGUAGAGCACCUUUAUAGUCACCCAGUUAUGUUGCGACGUUUGGUACACACAAGGCACUCCUCCGGUGUCAGUGAGUUGCAUGAUCUCAUGGUCAUAGGAACAUAUACUUGACAGCAGCAAAAACGAUAGCAGUAAACUUGAUACGGUCAUAUGCUAAGUUCAUAGUUUGGGUCUUGUCCAUCACAUCAUUCUCCUAAUGAUGUGAUCCCGUUAUCAAAUGACAACUCAUGUCCAUGGCUAGGAAACCAUAGCCAUCUUUGAUCAACGAUCUAGUCCGGUAGAGGCUUACUAGGGACAUGUUGUUGUCUAUGUAUCCACACAUGUAUUUGAGUUUCCAGUCAAUACAAUUAUAGCAUGGAUAAUAAACGAUUAUCAUGAACAAGGAAAUAUAAUAAUACCCACUUUAUUAUUGACUCUAGGGCAUAUUUCCAACACGUCAUCCGAUCAAUCGAUCUAGGGUUUCCCUCAGAGGUGGCGGGUAGGGGUGUAGAGCUUCUCCACGAUGAUGCCUUCAAGAAGGGACGACGCAGAAAAUGCCAUCGUCGUCGUCCUUGGCAAUGAGCUAAGAGCAGGGUUUUCACCCGGAUCCACUCGAGGAACUUCCAUACAUCCUUGUGUGCACGGACUGCCACCGGCCACUGCCGUUGUGCAUGGACCAGGCCGUACUGGCCAGAUCAGAUCUGACCGAAAGCCAGACCACACGUACAGCCGAUCCAUCCACCAGGCCCUCCAUGUCGCCGCCACCGAUUCGAGAUCCGCUCGCCGCAGAGUCGCCCGCCGCCGCCGCGAAGCAGGGCCGGCCGCUGCGCCGCAGGAUCGGAACAGCCGCACCUCCAUACGCCGGGGGCCCCACCCCACGCGAAGCCGCGGGAGAGAAGCAGAGACCCCCGCCACCGCCAUCCACCCCCGGGCUGAGCCCGACGGUAUCACGCGGUGGCGAUGGGAGGAGAGGAGGGACUCGACAGCGGCUGGGAUAGCGGCCCGUCCGAGUCGCCCGGUGCGGGAGCGACGCGGGUGUUCCUCGCCUCCUUUGGUUCAUAGGAUAAGAUUAUCGUAGGAAUAAGAAACUCGUAGAAAAUGAGAUGACAUGUAUCUCAAAUCCUAUAAGUAGGAAUAGAAAAAAAAGAUGACAUUGGUUUACAUCAUAGAACCUGAAUUUUUUUUAUUAAGUCUAGGCUCAUGUUUAUUUUUCUAUGAAAUGUGAAGGAUAUGAACAAAUCCUAUGUAGGAAUAGAAAUUCAUUCCUAUGACCAAAGGGCUCUAAAGGGGAAAUUCUUAUAAGAAUCCUAUCCUAUAGAAUUCCUACAAAAUUCCUCCAAAUCAAAGAAGGCAUAAACUCCCAGCUCUGCAAACCAAAACUUUCUUCAUAAUCAAUGGAAGUCUUUUAUCAUUUUCAAGAAAAAUAUAUAUACGUGGAGGAGUAGAGCUUGCCAAACAGGCCGGCCCGUGCUAAUUGUGCUUGGCACGGCCAUGGCACGUUUAAUAACCAGGUCAGGCCGUGUAGGCAUCGGCUUGUGACACAUUUAGCAUGUUGGGUUGCAUGUUUUUCAGUAUUGGGCUGUAAUUUAGUGUGUGUGUGUAUAUAUAUAUAUAUAUAUAUAUAUAUAUAUAUAUAUAUAUAUAUUAACUGGGGCACCUAGGUGCCUGGGCACCUUGUUUGGGUCAACCCGUUAAGCAUUUGGAUGUAAGUGACGUGUAUCAUUAUUGAUUUGUUUCCUAAUUUACUCCAUGCAAGACUUUCCAUAUAUACGAGAUAGUAUUAAGCGUUUGAUUUUUUUCCUAGUUUACUCGCAUUCUUUCUACAGUGACACUUUCUACACAUACAAUUCAAAUAAAUUAGAUUCGGCAACCAUCUGAUCAUCUACGUUCAAUUUUGAAUCAUUUUUUCUACUUGAACUUAAGACAUGUACAUGUACGUGUUCCUAAUUUCCUUUUACGUAAUAAAAAUAUUUGUUCAUACACACAUACCUGAUACCCAUGUGUACAUAUUAUUAGACCGUGAUACCAGUUGAUGGGUAUCUAAUUAAAAUAUGUACAAGUUGGUGUUGGUAUUAUACUUAAUAAAAAUAUACACAUACCUACAAUAUUUUAUGUAACAAAAAAUACACACGUACUCAUGGUAUUAUACCUAACAAUAAUAUUCCGGAAUAUACCUAAUGAUAAUAUACCAGUUGGUGGGUAUUAUACCAAUUGUUGGGUAUUAUACCUAAUGAAAAUAUUUAUGGGUGUUGGUAUACCUAAUGAAAAUAUUUAUGUGUUGGGUACAUAUUAUUAGACGAUACCAAUUAUUGGGUAUCAUAUACAAUUAUUUGCGCCUAUGUACUUCAAAAAUAAGUAGUUAUAAUACCUACGUAUUUUUGGGGUAUGUACUCAUGCAUUUCACGUCGAGGUAUGUAGUUAUAGGAAAAUACGAUGAGUACGCCCAUACCUAAAAAAUAUCAAGUACUUUCAAUUUUGUGUAUCCAUAGAUAUUUGAAGUAUGCAGUUGAGUAUUAUACCUAACGAAAAUAUUCAUGUAUGGGUGUUAUACCUAAUCAAAAUGUACACAUAGCCGGGUAUUCAUCCAAUAAAAAUAUACACAUACUUAAGAUACGCCUGUGUACAUUUUGGUAAUUCAGUCAAAAUACGAAUCGUGCAUACCGUACUAACUACGAAUAGUUUUUCCUACAUUCCUACGGAGUAUCACAUUAAUUUCUAAUUUCUAUCUCCUGUUAUGUCUAUCAACAUGCAAUGUUGCCAUGCAUGCUACUUUUUUCUUUCCCACGAAAGGACUCUUGCCAUGUAUGGUGCAUGGAGUCAUAUUUAUGGCAUUCUUUUUUUGCAGGGUAUAUUUAUGGCAUUCAAUAAGUAUUUAUGCCACAAUUAAUUUGAUCGGAAAUUUGUAAUGGAAUAACCCGUUAACAACAAUAUCCGUUACAACAGCACACAUCUAAAUGCGAUCGAGUGGUGGAAAGGCAAGGAGUCUGGACACCUAGGUGCCCCAAACUGUUGUGCCGUGCUGGCCCGCAUGCCCAGCCUCUAGGCCCAGGCACGGCCUAGACGUGCCGCACGGCCCAUGCCGUGCCUGGCCCAUGGCAGGCCAUGCGGGCGUGCUCGUGGCUCGGCCCGUUUGGCCAGCUAGAUGAAGGGGGAGAAGCAGGUCACGAAGAUGUCUAUGCCCGCCGUGAUCAGGAGAGAAGAACUAUAUUUUCGCAACACGGCACUCAACCACCAGCAGAAUAAAAUACGCUUGUUCCACGGAUCCAAGGCUUUGAUUACGGGUAAUCUUGGCAGACAGGCAUGCAGAUGCAGGCCACCAUUUAUUCCCCUCGAUAAACAACAGUCCGCAGGACACGCGGCGGGGAGGGACAAAAGAAUCGCCAGCCAGUUCAUCUCCCGAAGGACACGGCAUUUAUUCCUUUCAACUAACCCCAUUUGCUAAUUUUAAAGCACCAAUUCCAAAAACCUUUCACUUCAAUGAUCAGCUACUACCUCGAGUCAUUUCACAGUAGCUGAGCCUGAGGAGAGAAUGGCUUAAUUCCGCAGCUCAACCUCGAUUCAUUUCCCAGCAGCUCAUAGAAGAGAAUGGUUCAAUUGCGCAGCUCAUGACCGCUGCAAGAAUUACUCAAUCUUCUCCCUUUUCCUCGUACUUGGCGAAAUGAAAUGAUGCACUAGUAGUAGUACUCCACUAACUGAGUUAAUUAUCACCAUCGAUUGAUUUAUGGUAUACUGUAGUCCUACGCAAAUGGAAUUGGCUUCAAGAUGGCAGGAGGGACAAGUGAGGCAGUGAGCAACAUGGCCUCCACUAACUCUUGUCUGUUGCCUCAACCAACCAACCUACUCCCUCCCCGGCCCAAAAAUAAACAGCAACGAUGUGCAAGGAUGGAGAAAGAGCAAAAUAUGGCUCUUCCUCCUCCAUCAUGCCAAGAUCUACAAAUUGGUGAUAGCACUUCAUCUCUAGAGACGAAAAUUGCGGAUGGUUCCACGCUCUAGAUCCACCUGAACGCCACAAGGAAAGCUCGUAGUAGAAAUUAUUUUUCUCCCGACACCAAUCAUUUAACAAUAGCAAAGCAUUCUCUUGAUACAGACAAGAAAGCAGCUCAAGUUCAUCAUCUUACUCCAAGAAGAUGAAGCGAAGAGGAUUCAGUCUUGAAAGAAUAACAAAUAUCUCUUCAUAUUAAGGCACAAAUCUCUCUUAUACUUUACAACAACGACGGCAACAAAUGUCCCAAUAGGCCAAUACAGCAGCGGCAACAACCAAAGAAAUUUAACUAAUAAAUAGUAGCAGUAGUAGUAUACUAGUGGCACCGCUUAAAGAACAGCACGAGAAGCAGCUUAUUUUUUAACCGAGAGGACGUGAUCUCUGGGCGCGGAUGUCCCCGUGGCUUAGCCGCGGCAGCGGGUGAUGCGUGAGCAGCCGCGGUGGUAGGGGUUGGCCUGGGCGCCGGGGCGGCAGUUGUAGUAGCUGGCGCCGCGGCGGUUGCAGGGGACGGUGCCCCUGCGCAGCGCGCCGUAGCUGAUGUAGCCGCGCCCCUGCAGCACGCGGCGAUGCGCCUCGGCCGACGCGGACCCGAGCUCCCCCUCCGCGUCCUCCCCGCCGCACUCGGCCACGGUGCCCCUGCACUCCCCGCGGCCGGCGCCGCCGGAGAGGAGGCCCAGCUGCAGGUGGUCCCCGCCGGCGAUGGACGAGGCGGAGGCGGACAGCGCGACGGCGAGCACGAGGAGGAGCAGCACGAGGCUCCUAACGCCGGCCAU